rnacentral:rRNA from 1 species
GACGAACGCUGGCGGCGUGCCUAAUACAUGCAAGUCGAACGCUGAAGGAGGAGCUUGCUCUUCUGGAUGAGUUGCGAACGGGUGAGUAACGCGUAGGUAACCUGCCUGGUAGCGGGGGAUAACUAUUGGAAACGAUAGCUAAUACCGCAUAAGAGUAGAUGUUGCAUGACAUUUACUUAAAAGGUGCAAUUGCAUCACUACCAGAUGGACCUGCGUUGUAUUAGCUAGUUGGUGGGGUAACGGCUUACCAAGGCGACGAUACAUAGCCGACCUGAGAGGGUGAUCGGCCACACUGGGACUGAGACACGGCCCAGACUCCUACGGGAGGCAGCAGUAGGGAAUCUUCGGCAAUGGACGGAAGUCUGACCGAGCAACGCCGCGUGAGUGAAGAAGGGUGUCGGAUCGUAAAGCUCUGUUGUAAGAGAAGAACGAGUGUGAGAGUGGAAAGUUCACACUGUGACGGUAUCUUACCAGAAAGGGACGGCUAACUACGUG